AGCUCCAAUAGCGUAUAUUAAAGUUGUUGCGGUUAAAAAGCUCGUAGUUGGAUUUCUGUUGAGAGCAGCCGGUCCACCUCUUGGGUGAGUAUCUGGAUUGAUCUCGGCAUCCUCUCGGAAAACGUUUCUGCGCUUGAUUGCGUGGUGCGGAGUUCGAGACUUUUACUUUGAGGAAAUUAGAGUGUUCACGGCAGGCAUACGCCUUGAAUAUAUUAGCAUGGGAUAAUAAUAUAGGAUCUUGGUUCUAUUUUGUUGGUUUCUAGAGCUAAGAUAAUGAUUAAUAGGGACAAUUGGGGGCAUUCGUAUUAACGCGUCAGAGGUGAAAUUCUUGGAUUGCGUUACGACGAACUACUGCGAAAGCAUUUGCCAAGGAUGUUU
rnacentral:rRNA from 1 species